rnacentral:rRNA from 1 species
UCUACGGGAGGCAGCAGUGGGGAAUAUUGCACAAUGGGGGAAACCCUGAUGCAGCGACGCCGCGUGAGUGAGGAAGUAUUUCGGUAUGUAAAGCUCUAUCAGCAGGGAAGAAAAUGACGGUACCUGACUAAGAAGCCCCGGCUAACUAAGUGCCAGCAGCCGCGGUAAUACGUAGGGGGCAAGCGUUAUCCGGAUUUACUGGGUGUAAAGGGGGCGUAGACGGCUAAUAAAGUCAGAAGUGAACACCCAGGGCUCAACCUUGGGAGUGCUUGUGAAACUGAGGAGCUAGUGUGUAGGAGAGGUAAGCGGAAUUCCUAGGUGAGCGGUGAAAUGCGUAGAUAUUAGGAGGAACACCAGUGGCGAAGGCGGCUUACUGGACUGUAACUGACGUUGAGGCUCGAAAGCGUGGGGAGCAAACAGGAUUAGAUACCCUGGUUGUC